CGACUGAUAAAAAGUGAGCAAAGCAUCAGACGCUGAGCAAAUUACCUGUCAGAGCUGAAGGAAGAGUUUCUGUCUGAAACAUCAGAGGCAGGUUUACUGUGUGUGUGUGCGUGUGUGCGUGUGUGUGUUAGUGUGUGUGUGUUGUUGAGUCACUUCUCAGUUUCAAAUGUAAAUUUUUUUCUGCCGCUGAUACAAACACGUGAGUUUCUGUUUCUUUGAUUCUUCAUUUGACGAAGAAAUCAGCUGCUCCUCAGUCUCUCAACGUUUCCGUCGUGAUCGAUGAAAUGAACCGUUUCAAAUCUUCAGUCAAACACAAAUCGUUCCGACUCAAUCGUCUUGGUCUUCGAGUGAAUCGGUGACGAAUGACGAGCUGGAAUUAUAAACUGAAUCUGACAGACUCACUGUUCAUCCUGUUGCUUGUUGUGUUUCUCUGAGUUUCCAGGUUGUUGUUCUAACACGGUGUAGGACCUUCAUGGUGUCCUGUGUGUAUUGUAGUGUUUUGUAUCCCUCCUAUAUGUUCAGACAAGUCACCGAGGGCGUGUGGAAGAGCGCCGACGACCUCUCCGCCCAGACCAAGCGAGCGGAGGACGUGAGCCGCGGCUCGGACCUGGACAUCCUGAACAGUCCCUCGCUCAGCGACCUCAGCACCAGCUCCGGCCUGGCCAACUGGAUGCCGGCGUCCGACGGAGACGCCUCGGGCCUGGAGCAGGACGUCCAGCCCUCCAUGACCUUCAGAAACCGAGUCCUCGACGAGCUGCCGACUCGGCGUCCUCCGGACAAGUCGGUGUCAGCUGAAGUCCGACUGGCGGCAGAGCGGGACUGGGAGGAGAAACGUGCCAGCUUGACCCAGUUCAGCGCCCAGGACAUCAAUCGCUUGCUGGAGGAGACGCAGGCCGAGCUGAUGAAGGCCAUCCCCGACCUCGACUUCGCUGCCAAGCACAUCAACAAGCCGGCAGUGCCCCCCAAGCCCCAGAUCACCAUCCCAAUUACACCCACCACAGCUACUUCAGCUGCAGCCGCUAACACCGGCGCCACGGCCACCGCCACCACGACACCCGGCGGCGACCAGCAGCCUGGCAAAGUGCAGCUGGCCGCCCAGAAGCUGAACAGUAUGGAGGGGGGCGGUUCACACCGAGGGUCGGUCGACCUCAACGUGACUCGGUACCGAACAGAGAAACCCUCCAAGUCUCCGCCACCGCCUCCGCCACGACGAAGCUUCCCCUCAGCACACGGCCUCACCACCAACCGCACCGGAGAGGUCGUCGUGACGACCAAGAACCUGAAGAUGGAGGACGAUGGCGACAUCCCCAAAACUCUGGUGAAGCUGAGGCGGACCCCGUCGGACACCCCCCGCCCUGCGUCGACGCCGCCUGUGAUCGCAGCGUCUGCGAUUCAGGACGAGGACGACGAGGAGAGGAUCAUAGCGGAGCUGGAGAUAUUUGAGAGAACGCCUGUAAAAGAUUGUUUUAAACGGCGCAGCAUCGCCGCCGCCGCUCCUCCCUGCACCUCCAGGCCCAGAAAGAACAGCAGUAACUCCCCGGGGCCGACGAAGGGCUUCACCGUCGCAGCCAGACUCAAACACCUCCAACAGGGCAGCCUGGAAAGACCCAAGACCCGCAAGCAGAAAGAGGAUUUCCCCAAAGUCCAGGGCCAGCAGCAGGUAUUCCACUUCUAAACCCUCUGAGGUCCGCCUCUCUUCUGCUGAACGUUUUCCUCCUGCGACUCCUGAGGAGGAGAAGACGAUGUGAGGUUACACAGACACCAGAGGGGAACAGUCUGCAGAACCCUUGAUUCUUACCAGUUCUCCAUGUGCGUUCUGACCUUUGAGUUCCUGGAUCUCACCUCGCUUGCUCAGAGAUCAAGUUUUUUUGUGGUGUGAGUUUGUCGUUGUUUUGAUUUCCAGAGGAAGGAUUUUGGUGCUUGUGACUGAUGAAUCGAGCUUCACUCUCACAGUCAGAUCCAUUCAGAGACGUCCUCCGCCUCCAUUUACUGCGACAUUAUCUCCAGCGAUGCCACGGAAAAGAUUCAUAUCUCAAGUGCUGAGCUUCAGCUGCAGAAACGCUGCCUGUCAUCAGUUUCCCUUCGCUGCUUUUUUCUCACAUCAUUUUGGCGCCGGUCUUCCUCUGUGUGUCUCUCUCUCUUUCUGUCUCUGUUGCUCUCUCUGUCUCUGUCGCUCUCUCUCUGUCUCUGUCGCUCUCUCCAGCUUUGCCUCCCUCAUCCUCUGUCUGCCUCUCAGGUCUCAGCAGGACUUAUUACGUGAGGAGUGAGUCCUCGGAUCAUUUGGACGUCUAGUUCAGACCUUGGAGGCGUGAGGUUUUGUCAUUUAAAAGAAUUUAUCUGACUCUGUGUGUUAGAGAUCAACAGAUUGUCAGAGCAGCGAACCUGAAGUCACAACACAUCAAUAGUUCUGGUUGAAAUGAUGUUUGCCUCGUCACACUUUAGAUCUAAUUCAUUUAAAACACAUUUAACUUCACGUUUUAUAAAUUCAUUGCUCACAUUUUCAUAUUUAAUAAACUGACACGAUAUCUGUGUCCCAGUUCCACACAACGUAUGGAUUCACUUUGGUUUCUGUUUUGUUUCGACCAAUGGAAACAUGGAGGAAGUAAUGAUACUGAAAGAUGAGUUCAUUUGAGAAAUUGUCAUGUAAGAAUCAACAUUGCUAAAUAUUUUAUUUAUAUUUUUAUAUUGUCAAAGAUGGUCAAACCUGGAGCGACAGAGAAAUCCGGAUUUUUAUUCACGCUCCCCAACCAACACAUGGAUGUUACAUUUCCCAGAAUGCAGCUUGAGUUGUGUUGGAUUGGUAGUUUGCUUCAUGUGCUAAUGAGAGGAUGAAAUAUUUCCCAAGGUCGACUGUUUGAGUAACAGAUCCGUAAAUCUGAGGAGGCGUCAGAGGCCAGAACACGGCACAACAUCAUCAUGAGAGUCAGACUCUGUGAUUGGACGGGACGUCACCGCGCUGAACUAAUUUGUAGUAAACUGAUCUUUAUCUGUGAAAUAUGUGGAGUUCGCUUUUUAAAACUAAUUCUAGAGCCGAGACACUUUGAAGAUCUCAGGAACCAAAAAUCUGAUUAUUGGGAAAAUGAAAUAGCUUCUUCUUUUUGCACCAAAUGGAAAUGUACAUAGAGUAUUUUGCUUUAUCAGGAAAAACACAUUUCACUGACAUGUAGGAUGCAGUACAAUGCUGCACACAGUGAGUAUGAAACUGGGACACAGCUCAUUUGUUACUCAGCCAACAUGUAGAUAUUCAGAUUUAAAUUCUUCCAAAGUGUUUUGUAGUAAAAGUUCCAGAGACAUCCUGGAUGUGCCAUGUUGGAAAUACAGAAAUACAGAGUGGAGAUGUUUUGGCGGUGAAAUAGAAAAACUGUGACAUGGAGCAAAUUCAAAAUGACAAGAGAAAUGAUUCCUCACACAGGCUCUGUGCUGUUUGACAUUUGUGCCAGAGGGAAGUCUGACGCUGUGAGUGUGUGUGUGUGUGUGUUGAAAUCGCAGUCGGAUGUGUCAGUACACACUUAAUACAUUGAAGGAAUGUAUUAGUAGUCUCAGAAAUAGCAUUAAAAACUAGCACAAAAUAGAAAAGCGCAGUAAAAGUAUAACCUGAAUCACAUCACAGAUAUAUUGUAUGUAUAUUAAACGACCAUUUAGUUUUUUUGUUUUGAAGAGAUUGAUUUAUUCAAAUGUAAAAAAGAAAAGUGUCAUCUAUGUUUUAUAUAAUCAAGCUUUUUUUGUAUUUUUAUACUUGAAGAGGAUUCAUAAAACAUGUAACACAUUUAUUCUGUAAAUUAUUAUUUUUCUGCGUUGAAGAUUUAUUUUUUUCUGCGAACCAUGACCACGUCGUGUCGUAGAGAUCACGGAGACCAGUCGGCGGCAGAGUGGGUCGUUACCGCCGCACUUCUAAAAAGCACAUAACCUCCUUCCUCUAAAACCAUCACGUCACUGAUAGAACCCCAUUUCGUUGCUGUUCUCCUCUAUUAUAACCAAUAGUGUACGUACACGACCCCGAAUAUACAGUUUAAACUAUAUCGAUGGUUUCUUGAUGAAUGUGUGGUCGUUUGAAUCAUUUGUGGAUGUUGAAAUCAUGUAUAUAAACCCAAAUACUAUAUUACAGAACUGAUUUUAUGUGAGAUUUUUUUAAACGUGGGAAAAAAGAAAUCCAAAAUGGCAUGCAUACUGUAUACAUUCCUGGAAAUCUGCACGCUGGCUCAACAGAGAUCUCAUUUUCUUGUCAAUAAUUCUGUGUAUAACUGUGAGCGUACGAUAGAGUAAACAAAAAUUGUACAGUAACAUAGAUUUUUGUAUUAUGUUGAAAAUGGGUCUGUAAAGGUCCUUUUACUGUCAGAAUAACGAAGAAGAGAAAAAAACCAUAUUCUAACUCUUGGGAAAGAUAUUUAAAUGAUAUUGUAUAUCGACUAAAUACUGAGAGUGAUGCUUGCUGUGUGGGGUAAGUGUUGUUUGUGAAUCGUGAAGAAGAAUGAUAAUCUACUACAAAGUCCGUUAUAUAACUAAAGACCAACUUAACAGUGCAAAACAUCACGCAACUUUGUGUAUGGAAAGUAAAAGUUGCUGCUUCGUGUGAGAAAAAUCAACCAAACCAAGCGGUUGCUGCUUUUGUACGUUCCUGUUGUGGUUUUGUGACA